GACGAACGCUGGCGGCGCGCCUAAUACAUGCAAGUUGAGCGCUGAAGGUUGGUACUUGUACCAACUGGAUGAGCAGCGAACGGGUGAGUAACGCGUGGGGAAUCUGCCUUUGAGCGGGGGACAACAUUUGGAAACGAAUGCUAAUACCGCAUAAAAACUUUAAACACAAGUUUUAAGUUUGAAAGAUGCAGUUGCAUCACUCAAAGAUGAUCCCGCGUUGUAUUAGCUAGUUGGUGAGGUAAAGGCUCACCAAGGCGAUGAUACAUAGCCGACCUGAGAGGGUGAUCGGCCACAUUGGGACUGAGACACGGCCCAAACUCCUACGGGAGGCAGCAGUAGGGAAUCUUCGGCAAUGGACGAAAGUCUGACCGAGCAACGCCGCGUGAGUGAAGAAGGUUUUCGGAUCGUAAAACUCUGUUGGUAGAGAAGAACGUUGGUGAGAGUGGAAAGCUCAUCAAGUGACGGUAACUACCCAGAAAGGGACGGCUAACUACGUG
rnacentral:rRNA from 1 species